rnacentral:rRNA from 1 species
GACGAACGCUGGCGGCGUGCCUAAUACAUGCAAGUAGAACGCUGAAGGAGGAGCUUGCUUCUCUGGAUGAGUUGCGAACGGGUGAGUAACGCGUAGGUAACCUGCCUGGUAGCGGGGGAUAACUAUUGGAAACGAUAGCUAAUACCGCAUAAUAUUGACUAUUGCAUGAUAGUCAAUUAAAAGGUGCAAUUGCAUCACUACCAGAUGGACCUGCGUUGUAUUAGCUAGUUGGUGGGGUAACGGCUCACCAAGGCGACGAUACAUAGCCGACCUGAGAGGGUGAUCGGCCACACUGGGACUGAGACACGGCCCAGACUCCUACGGGAGGCAGCAGUAGGGAAUCUUCGGCAAUGGACGGAAGUCUGACCGAGCAACGCCGCGUGAGUGAAGAAGGUUUUCGGAUCGUAAAGCUCUGUUGUAAGAGAAGAACGAGUGUGAGAGUGGAAAGUUCACACUGUGACGUAUCUACCAGAAAGG